rnacentral:rRNA from 1 species
GACGAACGCUGGCGGCGUGCUUAACACAUGCAAGUCGAACGGAGAGGCCCUGCUUUUGUGGGGUGCUCGAGUGGCGAACGGGUGAGUAACACGUGAGUAACCUGCCCUUGACUUUGGGAUAACUUCAGGAAACUGGGGCUAAUACCGGAUAGGAGCUCCUGCUGCAUGGUGGGGGUUGGAAAGUUUCGGCGGUUGGGGAUGGACUCGCGGCUUAUCAGCUUGUUGGUGGGGUAGUGGCUUACCAAGGCUUUGACGGGUAGCCGGCCUGAGAGGGUGACCGGCCACAUUGGGACUGAGAUACGGCCCAGACUCCUACGGGAGGCAGCAGUGGGGAAUAUUGCACAAUGGGCGGAAGCCUGAUGCAGCAACGCCGCGUGCGGGGUGACGGCCUUCGGGUUGUAAACCGCUUUCGCCUGUGACGAAGCGUGAGUGACGGUAAUGGGUAAAGAAGCACCGGCUAACUACGUG